GGAGAGAUCGCAUAGUUGGCCUAGUGCGCGCGCCUGGAAAGCGCGUAGAGUGUAAAAACUCUCGAGGGUUCGAAUCCCUCUCUCUCCG